rnacentral:rRNA from 1 species
CGAAACCGAUAGCGAACAAGUACCGUGAGGGAAAGUUGAAAAGUACUCUGAAUAGAGAGUUAAAUAGUACGUGAAACCGCUUAGGGGUUAAGCCCGAUGAACCCGAAUAUCUGAUGUGAGAAAUUCAAUAUUAUUUAAUGUGAUUCUUUUUUGAAUUUAUAUUGAAUAGUAUGCACUUUUCUCAUAGUAAGACAUUGUAAUCCAUUGAUAUUAUAUCUUUAUUUGUUUAAAGAUGAUUUAACAUACGGACAAAAUGUAUAUGAUUAUUCUAUCAAUGAUAUGUUUUACAUGUCAUAUGAAUAAAAUCGUUUUGUACCUGUUUAAAUAGUCGAUGGAUUUUUUAAUUAAAAUCAUGCUUGCAAUUUAUUUUGCGUUUCGUAUCAUUAAUUUUUAAUUGAAGAUAGCAGAAAUGGCAUGUAUUUGAUUAACAAUGCGAUAGAUUUGGGAUACUUUCAGGACCCGUCUUGA